GACGAACGCUGGCGGCGUGCCUAAUACAUGCAAGUUGAGCGCUGAAGGUUGGUACUUGUACCCACUGGAUGAGCAGCGAACGGGUGAGUAACGCGUGGGGAAUCUGCCUUUGAGCGGGGGACAACAUUUGGAAACGAAUGCCAAUACCGCAUAAAAACUUUAAACACAAGUUUUAAGUUUGAAAGAUGCAAUUGCAUCACUCAAAGAUGAUCCCGCGUUGUAUUAGCUAGUUGGUGAGGUAAAGGCUCACCAAGGCGAUGAUACAUAGCCGACCUGAGAGGGUGAUCGGCCACAUUGGGACUGAGACACGGCCCAAACUCCUACGGGAGGCAGCAGUAGGGAAUCUUCGGCAAUGGACGAAAGUCUGACCGAGCAACGCCGCGUGAGUGAAGAAGGUUUUCGGAUCGUAAAACUCUGUUGGUAGAGAAGAACGUUGGUGAGAGUGGAAAGCUCAUCAAGUGACGGUAACUACCCAGAAAGGGACGGCUAACUACGUG
rnacentral:rRNA from 1 species